CUGAGAUCCCUGCCUGUCCCAUUGCUCUGUCUUAACUGUUUUUGAGCUUAUUUAUUUUCAAAUUAAUGUUGGCCUCCUCUCACAAACCUACAAACUCUGUGAGGACAGGGACCUUGUAGGUCUUCUAGACUGAGUAUUGUGUUCCCAGCGGGCACACAGUAGGAGCUCAGUUAAUCCUUGGGGCCGGACUGCAUGACCCCAGGCAAGUCACUUACUCUCUGAGGCCACCUCCUUCCUCUCAUCUGUAAUUUGAGUUCUUCAUUCAUGUCAGAAGACCCAUGGGGACCCCGUGAAGUGAUGAGGCUCUGUACACCAUCGAAUGAUCUUGAACUGAGACUAUCAAGUGAGGGCUGCCUAGUAGGUUGUAAGUGGGUCUCCCACACUCCCCACCAGCCCCCUAAGCCCACCAUCCCCAAAUGCAACCCUGAAGGAGGAAUUCUCCCUGCCUCACAGGCUUCAGUCUGCCUGGGCAUUCUCCACCCAGCUUUUAGCCCCCACCCUGGUUCCUGGUUGGCUUCCCCAUUUCAAAGCCUCCUCCCACUUCCUGUUCUCAUCCCAAAGCCUUGAAGCUUCCAGUUUGCAAACCCCUCUCUAUCCUCACUGCCCACCGCCCUGCACACCCAGCCUAGGCUGAACACCUUCCUCUAGAAUGCUAGCGGUCAAGGUCAUGGCUCCUGCCCUGGUGUCCCCCGCCCCCUAGCCUGGGGAAUUAGACCUGGGCCACGCCAUCUGUCUGAAAACAAUUAGCAAUAAACGCCAGCACGCUGGGGCUCCAGGUCAUGGGGGACGGAGCAGUGGGGGUUAUAAAUCCAGAAGGUUCCCAGCUGAAUCAGCCUUCCUGUCUGUGGGCCAAGAAAAAGCCUCCCCGCCGGCCGGGGAGGGAGCUUCCCAGUGCCUGUCUCGGGCCUGACGGCAGCCUCCAGCGCAGAGCGGAGCCGCACAAAGACCCAGCCUCAGCUGGGGAGGCGGAAGGGGACCAUCUGGUGGAGUGUGGGGCGGCGUCCGAGCCAGACGGAGGAGCAGCCUUUUUUGCUGUGUAUUGUGUGUUCCGUUUCUCAAAACACCCCUCGCAUGUGCUUCCAGUGUAUUGGCCCACUGCCAGCUGGCACUUGGGAUCCUGGAGCUGGAGCAUUGCCACGUGAAAACGGAGGCUCGGAGAGGAAAAGCGACUUCCUCAGAGUGCCACAGCUCUAAGAGAUGAGGCCAGAAUUUGAACCAACUUGGCCAGGCUCAUACCCAUCACAUCCCUGUGACACCUGUGCUACCUGAGAAGAACCAGCAGCUCCUCAAAGACGGGACCUCCCUGCUUUCACCUUGGCACCCCUGGCUCUUGGGCACACUGGAGUGUGAGCGUUUGGUGAGUGAACUGCUGACUGACUCUGGGCUCUAGGUUUUCUUUUGUUACGUUAGUGAGGUUGUACCAGAGUCAGGUAGGUCCUAAACCUAAUCACUUCUGAGUGGUGUCUUACAAAAAGAGCAGAACAGACACACAGACACACACGGGGGGUGGUGGUAGGGGGGAGACAGACACCAUGUGAGGACCUGUGUACAAGCCAAGGAAUGCCAAGGAUUGCAGCAGCCACCAGAAACUAGGGGAGAGGCCUGCAGAUGGAACUGACACAGCCAAGACCUUGAUGUGGACGUUUUAGCCUCCAGAGCUUUGAGAAAAGAAAUUCCUGUUCUUCAAAGCCACCCACUGGUGGUCCUUCUGUCAUGGCAGCCCUAGAAGUAAGAUGGAGGGACAGCCCUUUACACUGAGACAAGCUUGUCCAAGCCUGGGAAGGCGCCGGCUCCCUACCUGUGCUUCCAUGGGAGCAGGUGGCCAGUCUCCACUUGCGCCUGCCCUGGGAGGCAACCUCUGUGGGUCUGGCCAACAUGAGGCUGCAGUAGGAGACCAGAGGGUGGAAGGAGAGAAACGGAGGCCAGAGGGGGAAAGGAACUUCCCCAAGAGCAACCUACGUUAGUGCAGAGCCAGGACAUGAUCUCAGAGCCCCUGAGGUGGAUACUUUAUCAUUAUUAUUAUUGUGAUAAAAUACACGUAACAUAAAAUUCACCAUUUUAACCAUUUUUGAAGCAUACAAUUCAAUAGCAUUUAGUACAUUCACAGUGUUCUGCAGUAAUCACCUCUGUCUCGUUCAAAAGCACCUUCAUCAGCCCAGAAGGAAGGCCUGUGCCCAUUAGCAGUCACUCUCGGCUCCCCCUCCCCGCCCGGCACCCACCAGUCUACUUUUUGUCUUUCUGGAUUCAUCUGUGCUGUAGAUGUCACAGAAAUGCAGUCACAUAGCACGUGACCUUUUGUGUCUGGAUUCUUUCACUCAGCAUGUUUCCAGUGUUCACCCAUGUUGUAGCAUGUAUCAGUACGUCAUUCCUUUUUAUGGCAGCCUAAUAUUCCACUGUGUGGCUAUGCCACAUUUUGUCUCUCCAUUCAUCAGCUGAUGAACACUUGGAUUGCUUCCACCUUUUGGCUGUCGUGAAUAGUGUUGCUGGGGACAUAUAUAUACAAGUAUUCGAACACCUAUUUUUGGUUUUUUUGGGUAUAUACCUAGGAUGGAAUUGCUGGGUCAUAUAUCUGUCCUGUAGGGAGGCUAUGAGUCAGAAUUGAAUCGAUGGCACUGGGGUUGGCGCUUAUGGUAAUUCUGUGUCUAACUUUGUGAGGAACCACCACACUGUUUCCCACUGGCCGAAUCAUCUUAUAUUCCCACCAGCAAUGUUAGCGGGCCCAAUAUGGAUUCUGAAUCAUAGUUUUAUGAACUCUUUGGUUAGGAACGGGGCUUUGAGGGCACAAUAUAAACUGCUCUCUGAUUCUAGUGGGUAAAAGUUGUGCCUGACCACCCAGCAUCCUUUGCCUCAUCUCCUCUUUUCUCUGUGGGGAGCUCUCUCCCCCGUGGUGUGCAGUCUUGGUGUGGAUAUGAGUCCCAGUGGAUACACACCUCAUAUUUGUGUGUCUCCACCCUUCUGCUCCAGAACAGCCAUUGCUCAUUGGAGAGCCCUGGUCACUGCCACCAUCACCUCAUCUAACACCACUGGCUGCUCAGUCUCCCCUUUGGUGAGGGCCACACCCUGGCCUGGCCUCUAUCAUCCUGCUGCAGGGACCGGCCUCUGAGAUAGCCCCCGAGGAUCCUGCCUGCUGGUGUUCACACCCACGUGUAGUUAGUUCCCUCCCACCCUGACCUGAUCUGCGUAACUGGUCUGUGUAACCAGUAGGAUACUGUGGAAAGGACAGACAGAGACUCCUGAGGUUAGCUCAUAAAAGACACUGCGGCUCCCUCCUUUCUCGUUGCGGGAUCACUCACUCUGGAAGGAGCAAGCUGCCAUGUUGGGAGAACACUCAAGCAGCCCUGUGGAGAAGCUCAUAUGUCGGGUAACUGAGGCCUCCAGCCAUCAGCCUUCUGACUGUGCCAUCUUGGACAUGGAUCCUCCAGCCUCAGUCAAGCCUUCAGAUGAUGGCAGCCCGGGCCAGUGUGUUAGAUACGACCUCACGAGAGACCUGGAAUCAGAACCACCGAGCUAAGCUGCUCCCAAACCCCUGACCCAUAGAAACUGUGUGAGAUAGUAAAUAUUUGUUGUUGUUUUAAGCCAGUACGUUUGAGGGUAUUUUGUUACGCAGCGGUAGAUAAUACACCUGCCUUGGAGAGUCACAAAUCUCUAGCUCCUAGGCCUGACGCAACCCGACCGUAGAGACCUGGCCUGCACGUCGGCAGCUAGGUGAAGCUCUGUGCGGGGACUGCAGGAUCUAGCCUUCCAGCUGCUCUGACCAACAAGGGGCAGAGGUGGAUAGAGGCUGGCAGGUACUCACAAAGGACUGAUCGGCCAGCUGUGUUUGCCUGUGGAGCCAUGGCCAGCUCAGCGGGCCAUCACCUUGCCCAUCCCUUUUCCUCCUCCUUGCUCUCCUGAGGCGGCAUCCCAGUGGA